GGGCCCGUAGCUUAGCCUGGCGGAGCGCACGGCUGAUAACCGUGAGGUCCUGCGUUCGAAUCGCAGCGGGCCCACCA
rnacentral:tRNA from 5 species